rnacentral:rRNA from 1 species
GAUGAACGCUGGCGGCGUGCCUAAUACAUGCAAGUCGAGCGAACGGACGAGAAGCUUGCUUCUCUGAUGUUAGCGGCGGACGGGUGAGUAACACGUGGAUAACCUACCUAUAAGACUGGGAUAACUUCGGGAAACCGGAGCUAAUACCGGAUGAUAUUUUGAACCGCAUGGUUCAAAAGUGAAAGACGGUCUUGCUGUCACUUAUAGAUGGAUCCGCGCUGCAUUAGCUAGUUGGUAAGGUAACGGCUUACCAAGGCAACGAUGCAUAGCCGACCUGAGAGGGUGAUCGGCCACACUGGAUCUGAGACACGGUCCAGACUCCUACGGGAGGCAGCAGUAGGGAAUCUUCCGCAAUGGGCGAAAGCCUGACGGAGCAACGCCGCGUGAGUGAUGAAGGUCUUCGGAUCGUAAAACUCUGUUAUUAGGGAAGAACAUAUGUGUAAGUAACUGUGCACAUCUUGACGGUACCUAACCAGAAAGCCACGGCUAACUACGUG